GAACCAGAGACGUCGUCUAUCAGAGCCAGAGCAACAGAGAUCAGAGCAUCGUUGCCAUGGAAGAAGGACGGAGAAGCUGCAGAGUGUGCGUCACCGGCGCCACCGGCUUCAUGGGAUCUUUGCUCGUCAAGAAGCUCCUGGAGAAAGGCCAUGUCGUUCAUGCCACCGUCCGGAAUCCAGGGGAUGAGUCCAAGGUGGGAUUUUUAAGGAACCUCGCCGGCGCCGGCGCGAGGCUCUCCCUCUUCUCCGCGGACCUCUACGCCGCCCACACCUUCGCGCCGGCCAUCCACGGUUGCGAGUUCGUCUUCCUGGUCGCCACCCCCUUUCAACACAUUCCUUCCUCUCAGUUCAAGGACAUCGCCGAAGCGACGGUGUCGUCCGUUCGCACCAUACUGCAGCUAUGCGAGCGAUCGAGGACGGUGAGGCGGGUCAUCUUCACCGGCACCGUCACCGCGUCGUCCGCCAUGAAGGAAGACGGCUCCGGCUUCAAGGAGGCCAUGGACGAGUCUUGUUGGACUCCCCUCCAUCUUCCCUUCCGUCACUGUGAAGAUUUCGAGAAGGAUUACACUCGUUCAAAGACUCUAUCUGAAAAGGAAAUACUAUCGUACAACGACGAACGGCGAGAGACAUCAAUGGAAGUUGUGAGCUUAACUUCCGGCUUGUUCGGAGGCGACACGAUUCUGUCACACUUACCGUUGAGCUCCCAAAUCGUCGUCUCGCCGAUGACCGGCAAUCCGGAGCAUCGAAGGCAGCUAAAGUUUCUCCACGCGUUGCUGGGAUCGGUGCCCGUCGUGCACAUCGACGACGUUUGCGAGGCUCAUGCAUUCUGCAUGGAGCCGCCUUCCAUGGCCGGGAGGUUUCUCUGUGCAGCAGGGUACCCAGCACUGCAACAGAUUGCAGACUAUUAUGCCAAGAAGUUCCCUGAUCAGCUACCCGUGAUCACCAAAGAGGAAGAUGAAGAGGCAGCCAAAGUGUAUGUAGCAGGCAUAUCAACUAAGCUGACAGAUUUGGGGUUCAAGUACAAGCACGCUGUGGAGCAGAUUUUGGAUGAUAGUUUCGAGAGUGCCAAGAGGUUUGGAGUACUCCUCGACAAAACUACAAGCAAUCGAUAUUAGGGCUUCAACGUAAGAAAGAUAUCAAACAAAUGUUGAAGAGGCUAAAGCAAAUAGAAAUACAGAGUCAGGUGACCCGAGCAUUGGAACGGCUUGGCAUACGUCAAGUUCCAAAUCUAUUAUUGAGCAUGUCAUGGAUCUGGAACAUGAAUUGGCUCACAAUCUACAUGUAUAGAGGUAUUUCUUAAGACACACAAGAAAAAGGAUGUCGCAUUUGUUGAUACUAGAUAAAAAAUCAUAGACGUAAGAUUAUUUACUUUAUUAUAUUUAAUUAUUUCUAUCUUGAUUAACUUUAGUAAUUGUGAUCAAAUUGAAUAAUAUUCAUAUUAUAUUUUAUCAAACAAAAUCAAAUGAGGAUAGAGUGCAUCUCAGCCACCAGCAAAGGGGGGAGUCACAAUCUUUAUCCACCGAGGUACUAAAUGAGAUUUAUUAUGAUAUUGUCGGUGAACUGAUAAAAAAAUUCACCCUCUAUGGCCUUGGCUCCCAGGUCAAAGUUUCAUUUGAUCAUUUGAGAAGUCCUAGGGGUCGUGAUAAUUGCUCUUUUUCUUCUAAGAUGUAGUUUUUAAGAUAGGAAAUUCAAGAUUUAUGCACUCAAAACCACUCAAUAAAUAAGAAGAUGGAACAGUGGAUGACUAUUGAGACACGGAGGAGAGCUAUGGAGGAUCAAAAGCAACGUGAGAAUCAUGAUGCUCUCAUGGCUCAUAUGCAACCGUUCAUAGCUAAUUUCCCCUUGCCACCAGUUCCAUUUGAUUUUGAUUCACAAGAGACCAAUUCCAUUUGAUUUUGAUUCACAAGAGACUUAGGAUUUUUGAUGCCGUUUAUUAAUUUUUUCUGAGAUUUGUUCAACAAAAAUUAUUAUUUUAAUCAUAUAUAAAUCAUGCAAAAUAUAUAUAUAUAUAUAUAUAUAAU